rnacentral:misc_RNA from 1 species
CAGGAGUCAUCGGCUUUAAAAACUGCAUCAAGUUCAAAGUGGAUCGAAAAUAAAGUGGAUCAUGUGAUUUUUUUUCGUGUCUAGGAGAUAGGGUGCUUUCAAGUCUUGUAGGAGGUGUUGAAAAAUAAAAGGAUUUCAUCCAGUUAAAAGUAGAUAAAAAAAAAAAAUAAAAGAAACUUACAAAACGUCGCGCAGAAAAUAAGGGUGAAAGCGAGGGUGAUCCUUUCCAUGUCGAGAGGGGUGCUGUCCGCCUGGUUCGGAGGUGCGACUUGCUCUAGAGACCAGAAACAACCGACUGACUAAUCGAGUCAGGGCAGAUGAGAAGAGGGAAAAAACGGUUGUCGCAGGCGUAAUCCGAGCCAACAAAAGAGCGGAAUAACUAAA